CACGGGGGGAGCAAGCGUUGUUCGGAAUCACUGGGCGUAAAGGGCGUGUAGGCGGUCAAGUAAGUGGAAUGUGAAAUGCCUCGGCUUACCCGGGGACCUGCCUCCCAAACUGCUUGGCUUGAGUAUGGGAGAGGAUGAGGGAAUUCCUGGUGUAGCGGUGAAAUGCGUAGAUAUCAGGAGGAACACCGGUGGCGAAGGCGGAUCUCUGGGCCUUACCUGACGCUCAGGCGCGAAAGCGAGGGGAGCAAACAGG
rnacentral:rRNA from 1 species